rnacentral:rRNA from 1 species
UACGUAGGGUGCAAGCGUUAAUCGGAAUUACUGGGCGUAAAGCGUGCGCAGGCGGUUGUGUAAGUCUGUCGUGAAAUCCCCGGGCUCAACCUGGGAAUUGCGAUGAAGACUGCAAGGCUAGAAUCUGGCAGAGGGGGGUAGAAUCCACGUGUAGCAGUGAAAUGCGCAGAUAUCGAGGAGGAACGAGCCGGUAGGCGGAAGGCGGGGUCCUCU